rnacentral:rRNA from 1 species
AAACUUUGCAAUGUGCGAAAGCACGACAAGGUUAAUCCGAGUGAUUUCUGCUAAAGAGAUCUUUUGUUAGUCCUAGAAACACUAACGAAUAAGGGGUGGGCAAGUUCUGGUGUCAGCCGCCGCGGUAAAACCAGCACCUCAAGUGGUCAGGAUGAUUAUUGGGCCUAAAGCAUCCGUAGCCGGCUCUGUAAGUUUUCGGUUAAAUCUGUACGCUCAACGUACAGGCUGCCGGGAAUACUGCAGAACUAGGGAGUGGGAGAGGUAGACGGUACUCGGUAGGAAGUGGUAAAAUGCUUUGAUCUAUCGAUGACCACCUGUGGCGAAGGCGGUCUACCAGAACACGUCCGACGGUGAGGGAUGAAAGCUGGGGGAGCAAACCGGAUUAGAUACCCGGGUAGUCCCAGCUGUAAACUAUGCAAACUCAGUGAUGCAUUGGCUUGUGGCCAAUGCAGUGCUGCAGGGAAGCCGUUAAGUUUGCCGCCUGGGAAGUACGUACGCAAGUAUGAAACUUAA